rnacentral:rRNA from 1 species
GACGAACGCUGGCGGCGUGCCUAAAACAUGCAAGUCGAGCGCAGGAAACUGACGGAACUCUUCGGAGGGAAGGCAGUGGAAUGAGCGGCGGACGGGUGAGUAACACGUAAGGAACCUGCCUCAAGGAUUGGGAUAACUCCGAGAAAUCGGAGCUAAUACCGGAUAGUUCAACGGACCGCAUGGUCCGCUGAUGAAAGGCGCUUCGGCGUCACCUUGAGAUGGCCUUGCGGUGCAUUAGCUAGUUGGUGGGGUAACGGCCCACCAAGGCGACGAGGGAUAGGCGACCUGGGAGGGUGAUCGGCAACACUGGGACUGAGACACGGCCCAGACUCCUACGGGAGGCAGCAGUAGGGAAUCUUCCACAAUGGACGAAAGUCUGAUGGAGCAACGCCGCGUGAGUGAUGAAGGUUUUCGGAUCGUAAAACUCUGUUGUAAGGGAAGAACACGUACGAGAGGUAAUGCUCGUACCUUGACGGUACCUUACGAGAAAGCCACGGCUAACUACGUGCCAGCAGCCGCCGUAAAAC